rnacentral:tRNA from 1 species
GGGGCUGGAGCUCAGUGGUAGAGUGCUUGCCUUGCAUACAUGAGGCCCUGGGUUCCAUCCCCAGCACCA